AGAGUUUGAUCCUGGCUCAGAAUCAACGCUGGCGGCGCGCUUAACACAUGCAAGUCGCACGAGAAAGUGGAGCAAUCCAUGAGUAAAGUGGCGUACGGGUGAGUAACACGUGGAUCAUCUACCUCUUGGUGGGGAAUAACCUUGGGAAACCGGGGCUAAUACCGCAUAAGCCUGGAAAGGGAAAGCAGCAAUGCGCCGAGAGAGGAGUCCGCGGCCGAUUAGCUAGUUGGUAGGGUAAUGGCCUACCAAGGCAAUGAUCGGUAGCCGGCCUGAGAGGGCACACGGCCACACUGGCACUGAAACACGGGCCAGACUCCUACGGGAGGCAGCAGUGGGGAAUCUUGCACAAUGGGGGAAACCCUGAUGCAGCGACGCCGCGUGAGCGAUGAAGCCCUUCGGGGUGUAAAGCUCUUUCGGCAGGAACGAUAAUGACGGUACCUGAAGAAGAAGCUGCAGCUAACUACGUGCCAGCAGCCGCGGUAAUACGUAGGCAGCAAGCGUUGUUCGGAGUUACUGGGCGUAAAGAGUGUGUAGGCGGUUCUCUAAGUUCGGUGUGAAAUCUCCCGGCUCAACUGGGAGGGUGCGCCGGAAACUGGAGGGCUUGAGUAUGGGAGAGGAAAGCGGAAUUCCUGGUGUAGCGGUGAAAUGCGUAGAUAUCAGGAGGAACACCUGCGGUGUAGACAGCUUUCUGGACCAUCACUGACGCUGAGACACGAAAGCGUGGGUAGCAAACAGGAUUAGAUACCCUAGUAGUCC
rnacentral:rRNA from 1 species